rnacentral:lncRNA from 1 species
CUCAGGCCCGCUUCUCAAGCCCAACACUAUCAGUUAACUCGAAGCAGCCACCUCCCAUUUUCUGUCAAAUUAGCUGCCAACCUUUAAUUGGACAGAGAAGGAGGCGGCAACCUUCUCUUCUUUAUAAAAACAUCAAUCCGUACAAGGAAAAGGAGGAGGGGGAGUUUUACGCAGAAGAAAUCCUAACAUCUUCCCCCAAAUCCCCAAAUAGCCGUAGCAAUACAAAGUCCCAAACUAGUGUUUCCCAAAAACAAUGAAAUACCAAGAGAAAAAUAUCACUAAAUAACCUAUACAGUCAAACUUUCUACUCCUAAACUCAUGGAACUAGCUUCUAACCCUAACAAAAAUCCAAGAUAUACCCACAAGAAGGCCUUGAAGCUAUCUUCGUCCGUCUAGGAGUCGCCAAGGGGAAAGAACACGCGAAUCCGAGAAGCAAAAGCCACCACAACCUGAAAGCAAAAGGAGAUCCCAUAUGAAAAGGUAAGGUACUCCAAAACCUGCAUCUAUUCGGACAUUCAUGACACUAUUACGAUUAUUACCCUUGUUUUUGUGUUUAUGUACUUUUUUUGGUCCUUACUAUCCUUUGUUAAUGUUACUUACCAAUAUACUUCAUAGCCUAUUAAGCAAUGAAAGAAUCAAAGAAUAGAAUGACUAAAUUACACCAAUACCCACACCCCAAGUAGGCUGAAGCCUCUUCCAAAUGACCAACUGUUGCCUACCUUAACACCAUUAGCAUCAAAGACCCAAGUAUCAUACAAAUACUCGGAAUUUGCACUCAAUUUCACAAACAAAUUAUGAGUUACUCUAACAACUUUAUGGCUGGAAUUUCACAAAAUAAUCAGCUUAAUCAAAUCUGUUAAAGGAAGUCAAUUGGCAUGGUGUCAAAAUGAUUGGUUUUGCUUCAAUUUUGAGCGGGUCAAGUUUUCACCCAUCGAUGUGCAUAUUUAUUUAUGCCUAAGAAAAGGGGUAAUAAGCCCAUAUUUUACUCGGGUCAUUUAGCUAGCAAAAAUUUAAAUAAGAAUCUCGUACUUAGCUUUUUUGUCUUUCCGAAUCGGAUCAAGUCAUUCCCCACAUUCCGACUCCCUCAAACAAGUCAAUCCACAAACUUCAUUCUAUACCUGAAGUAACAUAAAAACAAAAUCACAUCCCAUCUUUGCAAACAGAGGGUUUAUUAAAGAUAAUAAAAAGAGGUCUUUUACCUAUUCGGCCGCUCCCGUGGACGUCCGGUUCACCGGCGACGAAUCCAGGACCGGUGGUCUUGUUUUCGUCGUUGGAUCCAUUCAUCUGCCCCCCGACAACCA